rnacentral:rRNA from 1 species
AGUGAACGCUGGCGGCAGGCCUAACACAUGCAAGUCGAACGGCAGCACAGUAAGUGCUUGCUCUUACCGGUGGCGAGUGGCGGACGGGUGACGUAUACAUCGGACUCUACUUUUUCGUGGGGGAUAACGUAGGCAAACUUACGCUACUACCGCAUACGACCUACGGGUGAAAGCAGGGGAUCUUCCGACCUUGCGCGAUUGAAUGAGCCGAUGUCGGAUUAGCUAGUUGGCGGGGUAAAGGCCCACCAAGGCGACGAUCCGUAGCUGGUCUGAGAGGAUGAUCAGCCACACGGGAACUGAGACACGGUCCAGACUCCUACGGGAGGCAGCAGUGGGGAAUAUUGGACAAUGGGCGCAAGCCUGAUCCAGCAAUACCGCGUGGGUGAAGAAGGCCUUCGGGUUGUAAAGCCCUUUUGUUGGGAAAGAAAAGCAGCAGGUUAAUACCCCGCGGUUCUGACGGUACCGGAAGAAUAAGCACCGGCUAACUACGUG